CCCUUAGAUGUUCUGGGCCGCACGCGCGCUCCACUGAUGCAUUCAACGAGUUUCUUCCUGGUCCGAGAGGAAUGGGUAACCUUUUGAAAGUGCAUCGUGAUAGGGAUAGACUAUUGCAAUUAUUGGUCUUCAACGAGGAAUUCCUAGUAGACGUAGUUCAUCAGACUGCAUCGAUUACGUCCCUGCCCUUUGUACACACCGCCCGUCGCUCCUACCGAUUGAAUGCUCAGGUGAGCCAUUCGGACUUUCAUCAUGCUGGUUUCCAGUUUUGAUGAAGGAAAGUCUUGCGAACCUUAUCAUUUAGAGGAAGGAGAAGUCGUAACA
rnacentral:rRNA from 1 species